UCUCUGGUGGUCCAGUGGUUAGGACUUUGCACUUUCACUGCCGGGGACCUGGGUUCAAUUCCUGGUCAGGGAA
rfam:TPA: Bos taurus chromosome 26, whole genome shotgun sequence.